CCUUCGAUAGCUCAGUUGGUAGAGCGGUGGACUGUAGUUAAGACUUUGAGUAAAGGAAAUAGAAAUCCAUAGGUCGCUGGUUCAAAUCCGGCUCGAAGGA
rnacentral:ncRNA from 12 species